rnacentral:rRNA from 1 species
UACAGAGGGGGCAAGCGUUGUUCGGAAUUACUGGGCGUAAAGGCGCGUAGGCGGCCUGUUAAGUCGAACGUGAAAUCCCCGGGCUCAACCCGGGAACUGCGUCCGAUACUGGCAGGCUUGAAUUCGGGAGAGGGAUGCGGAAUUCCAGGUGUAGCGGUGAAAUGCGUAGAUAUCUGGAGGAACACCUGCGGCGAAGGCGGGUUGCUGGGCUGACACUGACGCUGAUGCGCGAAAGCCAGGGGAGCGAACGGG